CAAUAGCGUAUAUUAAAGUUGUUGCAGUUAAAAAGCUCGUAGUUGGAUUUCUGGUGGGAGCGAUCGGUCUGGCGCUUAGCGCGAGUACUUGCAUCGUCUCCGGCCAUCCUUGGGGAAAGUCUGUCUGGCAUUAAGUUGUCGGGCAGAGGAUCCUCAUCGUUUACUGUGAAAAAAUUAGAGUGUUCAAAGCAGGCUUAUGCCGUUGAAUAUAUUAGCAUGGAAUAAUAAGAUAGGACUUUGGUACUAUUUUGUUGGUUUGCGCACCAAAGUAAUGAUUAAUAGGGACAGUUGGGGGUAUUCGUGUUCCGUUGUCAGAGGUGAAAUUCUUGGAUUUACGGAAGACGAACUACUGCGAAAGCAUUUACCAAGGAUGUUUUCAUUAA
rnacentral:rRNA from 1 species